AUUGAACGCUAGCGGCAGGCUUAAUACAUGCAAGUCGAGGGGCAGCACAGGUAGCAAUACUGGGUGGCGACCGGCAAACGGGUGCGGAACACGUACACAACUUACCUUAAGGUGGGGGAUAGCCCAGGGAAACUUGGAUUAAUACCCCAUAAUACAGGGGGCCCGCAUGGGUCUAUUGUUAAAGAUUUAUUGCCUUAAGAUGGGUGUGCGUCUGAUUAGGUAGUUGGUGAGGUAAAGGCUCACCAAGCCAACGAUCAGUAACUGGUGUGAGAGCACGACCAGUCACACGGGCACUGAGACACGGGCCCGACUCCUACGGGAGGCAGCAGUAAGGAAUAUUGGUCAAUGGACGGAAGUCUGAACCAGCCAUGCCGCGUGAAGGAUGAAGGUCCUCUGGAUUGUAAACUUCUUUUAUAGGGGGCGAAAAAGGGCCUUUUGAGGUCAACUGACGGUACCCUAUGAAUAAGCACCGGCUAACUCCGUGCCAGCAGCCGCCGUAAGAC
rnacentral:rRNA from 1 species